UGCAUAAUUUACAAGUCUCAUCUCUUCUCUCUCUCUCUCUCUCUCAAAUUCCAUCAGAGAUCUAGAUCUGCCCUUUCUCUCGAUUCACCAAAUGCCAUGGAUUGAAGAUCUAGGGUUUAUGGCAUCUUCACUCAAAAUCGUUCCAGAAAUUGUUGUUCAAGUGCUUAUAUUGCGAUAAAUCGGCGAUCCCGUUUUCUCAUCCCACUGACUUCUUCUCCGGCCAUUCUAUCCGCCUCUUUCACCGUCAUCGGAGGUUUAGGAUUUAAACUAGAGUGAAGAUUAGGAAGUGUCGGUAAGAAGGAAAAAUCAUCAACGAGAACAGGUAUAAACUGCAUUUUAGCAUAAUUCGAAAGAUCGGACGGCGAUUGCUGUUGAUGCAGACCAGGUUUUUCCGAAAUGCUUACAAACAACACGAAGUCCAGCAGGUUUGACAAUCUUAGGAUACCUAGAGAAAACUUGUUGAAUUCAGGCCGCUACUAUGAUGUCAUCAUUUGCCGACCAUAGCUUCUCAAACGGUUGUAUAUUGGUGAAGAGAUUAACAAAAGACUACCCUCACUAGGUAAAGCUAAAGACCUAAGUUGCUGGCUAGGGGCACUCGAAAUAAGCAUCUGAGUGCUUGUGUAUAUUUCAUCGAUGAUGGAGUCGUCUCCUUCUGCACAUUACAAGUGCGUGUAGCAAGAAAUUACAUGCAAGCAAAACUUAAUUGAAAACAUGUUUUUAUACUUUAUAACUGCAAACUUAGGCAGUCAAACUUCGCCUUGUUAAACAUAUCCUCUUACAUGUGGUGAACAUCAAUCGUACUUGUGCUUGAUGAUUUAUCUUACAUUUCCUCUUUUAUCUUUUUUGUUUUUUUUUUUCAGAAACUUAAUUGUAUGCUAUGUUAUAAUUCGUUUGAUAUUGUUUUU
rnacentral:lncRNA from 1 species